rnacentral:rRNA from 1 species
UACGUAGGGGGCUAGCGUUGUCCGGAUUUAUUGGGCGUAAAGAGCGUGUAGGCGGCCAUGUAGGUCCGGUGUGAAAACUCGAGGCUUAACCUCGAGACGUCGGCGGAAACCAUCUGGCUAGAGUCCGGAAGAGGAGAGUGGAAUUCCUGGUGUAGCGGUGAAAUGCGCAGAUAUCAGGAAGAACACCCGUGGCGAAGGCGGCUCUCUGGGACGGUACUGACGCUGAGACGCGAAAGCGUGGGGAGCGAACAGG